rnacentral:rRNA from 1 species
AGAGUUUGAUCCUGGCUCAGGACGAACGCUGGCGGCGUGCCUAACACAUGCAAGUCGAGCGAAUGAAGUUUCUUCGGGAACGGAUUUAGCGGCGGACGGGUGAGUAACACGUGGGCAACCUGCCUCAUAGAGGGGAAUAGCCUUCCGAAAGGGAGAUUAAUACCGCAUAAGAUUGUAGUACCGCAUGGUACAGCAAUUAAAGGAGCAAUCCGCUAUGAGAUGGGCCCGCGGCGCAUUAGCUAGUUGGUGAGGUAACGGCUCACCAAGGCGACGAUGCGUAGCCGACCUGAGAGGGUGAUCGGCCACAUUGGGACUGAGACACGGCCCAGACUCCUACGGGAGGCAGCAGUGGGGAAUAUUGCACAAUGGGGGAAACCCUGACGCAGCGACGCCGCGUGAGCGAAGAAGGCCUUAGGGUCGUAAAGCUCUGUUGUAAGGGAAGAAAGGCAACGGGAGUAUAAUGUCCGUUGUUUGACGGUACCUUACGAGGAAGCCCCGGCUAACUACGUGCCAGCAGCCGCGGUAAGACGUAGGGGGCGAGCGUUGUCCGGAAUUACUGGGCGUAAAGAGCACGUAGGCGGAUAUUUAAGUCAGGUGUGAAAGACCGCAGCUUAACUGCGGGGUUGCAUAUGAAACUGGGUAUCUUGAGGGCAGGAGAGGGCAGUGGAAUUCCUGGUGUAGCGGUGAAAUGCGUAGAAAUCAGGAGGAACACCAGUGGCGAAGGCGGCUGUCUGGACUGACCCUGACGCUGAGGUGCGAAAGCGUGGGUAGCAAACAGGAUUAGAUACCCUGGUAGUCCACGCCGUAAACGAUGGAUAUUGGGUGUGGGAGGGAUUCGACCCCCUCCGUGCCGCAGCUAACGCAAUAAGUAUCCCGCCUGGGGAGUGCGGUCGCAAGGCUGAACCUCAAAGGAAUUGACGGGGGCCCGCACAAGCGGUGGAGCAUGUGGUUUAAUUCGAUGCAACGCGAAGAACCUUACCAGGUCUUGACAUCCAAAGAAUUCUUGGGAAACCAGGGAGUGCCUUUUGGGAGCUUUGAGACAGGUGGUGCAUGGUUGUCGUCAGCUCGUGUCGUGAGAUGUUGGGUUAAGUCCCGCAACGAGCGCAACCCCCGCUAUUAGUUGCUAACAGGAAAGAUGAGCACUCUAAUGGGACUGCCCGUGACAAGCGGGAGGAAGGUGGGGAGGACGUCAAAUCAUCAUGCCCUUUAUGUCUUGGGCUUCACACGUACUACAAUGGUAACAACAGAGGGGUGCCACACCGCGAGGUGGAGGGAAUCCCAAAAUGUUAUUUCAGUUCGGAUUGCAGGCUGAAACUCGCCUGCAUGAAGCAGGAAUUGCUAGUAAUGGCAGGUCAGCAUACUGCCGUGAAUAAGUUCCCGGGCCUUGUACUCACCGCCCGUC